CUCAUUUAUUGUGCUGCAUUUAAAAACGGAUUUUAGAUCCACCUUUAUUUGGGUAUCCUCUGAUAGCUCUAACAACGCUAUGGUUAACCAAAUUUAAUUUAAAAACUUACAAGCUCAAUUUUAUGUUUUGAAAUUGACACAGAGCAUUAGGUUGUAAAUUGAAAAAAGUACAAUACUGCUUAUAAUAAUAACUGUUUUUUUAUUUUAUAGAUACAUCUGUCGUUAAAAUUAUUUAAACUAUUCCACAGCCACAUGCACCUUUACAUCAACUACUAUUUUUGAUGUACUUAGUCUAAUUAGUUGUUGAAUUUUCCUUGAUAUUAACAGUAGCAACACUUAUUUUGAUAACCUUCUUAAUGGUUCCAAGAAAAGGUUCUUUUUUUCUUCUAUUGUUGGCACAGUUUUUUCUCUUUUUGGAAUCAAUUCAGUUUUGGCUUGCCCAGCACCAGCCACCAGAGAAGUCUCUAACCACCACAGUUUCAAAUGGUGCACAUUUACUAGAUAUAAAACUUAAAUUAAAACUUCAAAGAUAAUAAAAGGUAUUAGAUGUUUAAAAAAAUAAAUAAAAUCUGUUUACUUCAACAUUUAAAUGUCUAAUUGAACUGUUAGCUAUUGUUAAUAUUCUUUUCUCUGGUAUAUGUCUACUAUCGUUGCGCUUUGCUAUCCAUUUGACUGCAUCUUCAUAAGAAUCUUAAGUACUUAUAUGAAAAGAUAAAUCUCUAUGGUCUCAUACCAAUCGUUAAAAUUAUGUAGGUAACGGAUCCGUUCUUUAAGUAAGUAAAUAAGAAAGAGAAGAAAUAACUGUUAAACAAUUUCUCUGUUUUGGGCGGAAAUAAUACCCAAUUUAUAAAAUAGAAAUAUAUUGAACCGAGCGAGAGAGAAGCGCUGGUUAAUACUUGUGCGUCUUACUAGGGUUUCUGGUUUCUCGACCUUCUUUAUUUCUCGAGGCACGGGAAUUCUCGACCAGGAUUUCUCGAGUUUCUCGAGAAAUUUUGUAAGUUCCAAAAAACACCAUGUUUUGCACCAAUUUUUAGUUACCAUAAAUUGCUCUUAAUUAUCAAAAAAUCAACAACAACCAAAAAUACGAGUAGGUACUAGGUGCAGGCGUGCGCGCCGAUGAUGUGAUAUGCUAUAGUGUAUUGUUUAGGUAUUUAACAAAAUGUAAGUAAGCCAUAUAGGGGUUACUGGGAGUAUAUAAUAAGAAAUGCGGAAGUACUUAAUUAAGACGUGCAUUUUCACAAUCACGACCGGGAGACAACUAAGGAGCGAGCUAUGCGUCGGGCCUUCCGUAGCCGCGCGGAAUGCUGACAACGCAUAGCGGUCCCUAUAAGCCACAAUAGGUAAGGUAUAUUAUUAGGCAAGGAUAUUCGAGUCAUUUAAUUUAAUUCGAUGUGACUAACUUACAGAUUUUUAUUUAUUUAGGAAACAAAUAGUCAUAUACAAAUGUGUUUAAACUAAUAUAUAUUCAAUUGGACCUAUCGUUCCAUUAAAUAUAAUAUACUGAUAUUCAUAACAAGUCGAAAUAAGGCUUGCACGGCAAGGAAAACACACAAAAGUAACUAUUUGAUACAUAACUAACAAAAUACCUAAGUAUCAAUCAUGCUCAUAAACAUAGGUACCUACAUACGUUGUAUAGGUCUAUACAACAAGCCAUUUAAGAGUUUAUAGAAUCAUUUGAUCUAUAAAUACGCGUGGUUUUUUUAGUGGACCAAGACCACGCCACGAAGGUGUGUGUUUUACUAUAUAAUAUAAAUACAUAUUUAACGUAAGAAUGGAGCUGCUAAAAUUGUGGUGUUAUGCUAAAACAAUUAUUAUACAACAAUGUGUAAUGAACAAUUAAUAUAUUGUUCAUGAAUAAAUAAAUAACAAUAAUAUGCUAAUAGGAAUAUAUCAGAAUGAUUUGUAAUAAUAGUAAUUUAGUUUUGUACCUAAAACGAAACGAAUUCUUUUGACAAUUGAGGGUACUAGUUCAAAAUUGGUUAGCUAAGCUAAUAAAUGUAAAAAAAAACAACAUAAAGAACUACACUACAGACACAUCACGUUAUCACGUUAUACGCGUGUUUUUUUACUUAUCACAAGAGAUCGAGUUCUCGAGGCAUUGAGUGUUUUUUCCCGCCUCGACAAGGAUAAAUUUCUCGAGAAUUCUCGAGCAGAAACCCUAGUCUUUACGAGGGUCACCCCGAAAUGAUCCCAAAUAAAAUAAAACUAUGAGCGGAUUAUGCUUAAAUUAUAUUUUAUUGUUUCUCAAAGUAUUCUCCCUCGCAAUUAAUGCAUUUUUGCAUUCUAUUAAACCAGUCAUUAAAGCACUAAUUCCAGUCUGAAGCCCAUGUUGCCAAAAUGGCCGACU